GUGGGGAAUAUUGGGCAAUGGGGGAAACCCUGACCCAGCGACGCCGCGUGAGGGAAGACGGCCUUCGGGUUGUAAACCUCUUUUGUACGGGAAGAAGGAAGUGACGGUACUGUACGAAUAAGUCCCGGCUAACUACGUGCCAGCAGCCGCGGUAAUACGUAGGGGACGAGCGUUGUCCGGAAUUACUGGGCGUAAAGGGCGCGCAGGCUGUGCUGCAAGUCAGCUGUGAAAUGUCUGGGCUUAACCCGGGCAUGCGGUUGAGACUGCAGUGCUGGAGUGCUGUAGAGGCAAGUGGAAUUCCCAGUGUAGCGGUGAAAUGCGUAGAUAUUGGGAAGAACACCGGUGGCGAAGGCGACUUGCUGGGCAGCAACUGACGCUGAGGCGCGAAAGCCAGGGGAGCAAACGGGAUUAGAAACCCCGGUAGUCC
rnacentral:rRNA from 1 species